rnacentral:lncRNA from 1 species
CCAAAGCUAUUACUACUGAACUAUUUCACAAACCCAUUUUGAAAGUCAAAAACCGAGCACUGAGUCUUUCUCUGUAAUCCAGCUACACCAACCCUAAUCUUCUCUGAGGUGAUGCACAGCUGUCACUGGGGAGAAAUGGAAUGCCAGGAAAUGCACAAAGGAAAAGCAUCCUGACAAAUGUUUUCAGCCUUAUGCGCCACACCACUAAAGAACAUUGCCACCUGCUGUAGGAUAUGAAGCUUCUGAAGCACAUGAGAAGUAAGAGGAAACAAUGGUCAUGCCCCCAAAGGUCUUGCUCCACAGAACUGGAGGGACACGUUCUGAAGAAUCCCAGAUUGCAUUCCAGAUGCACCCCAUGGAAACAUGGGACUUUGGUCCUUUUCCAACACCAGGUCACAAGGAGAAAGCUCAUUUUGCAGCUACUCACAGUUACUAGCAGGGCCAUCAUCCUUAACAUUUUUCUGUUGACUCAGAUCUCAGUGAUUUGUAGAAGGAUAAAUUAUCUAAGUAUGAAUUUCCUCUUAAUUCUGAAUAGAAUCUUAUAAUAGCCUCUAUCCUGUUACGACGUUCCCAGUAGUCUUAUGAAUUCAGUAGGGAAUAAACCAGCUGUUUCCAUUUCAUGGGGAGGGCGGGAGGAACAAUCUUGGACUUUUUCUUUUUUUCAACCAAUGUUUAUUGAACCCUUAUUGUGAACCAGGAGCUGUAUUAGGCUCUGAGAAUACACAGUUAGCCUGAACCUACAUGAUGCUUAUACUAGGGAAGAAGACACAUAAACAGAUACUUUUAUUAUAAAAUGGUAGAAAUAAUUACUAGGUGUCAAAGGUUCAAAGUUGAAGGGUAUCACUCAGCCUUCCUGGAGGAGCUGAGACUUGAAUUAAGACUUGAAGGAUGGGCCAGAUGCCAAGUGGGGAGAAGAGCUCUGUUGAUCUGUUCAUUGUGGUAUCCCUACCACCCCACCACAUGGUCUAGUACAUGGAAGACAUUUAAUACAGUGAAUUUGCGAAAGAAAUCUCAGCAGAGGAAAUGUUAUAAGCACAAACAAGGCACGGGAAACUAGAAAUGAUUUGGAUUUACGAGAAGAUUAAUCCUUAUAGGAUCAUAGAUUUCUCUGAAAAACUAAUAGAAGCUAUGGUCCGUCUUCCUACCAAAAUUAACAUACACUCAACAUUUAACAGGUAAUUUUAGGGGGAUACAGAUAUGCCUGAAACUUGUACACACUGAGAAAUCUCUGUUAUAGGGAAUUGGGAGCAUUGAGGUUUUUAAAAACAUCUUUAUUUUAUUUAUUAUAAAGUAGGGGAAUGACAUAACUUAGAGUUACUUUGGAUGCAUAGUGAAGGAUGGGCUUAAGGAAGAUAAGACUAGAUGUGGCAGUUCACUUAAGAGGUUGCUGAAAUAAUUCUGGGUGAGUUAGCCAGAACUAGGAGUGAAGACACGGGCAUGGAGAAGAGUAGUGGGGUGAAGAAUACUUUAAGCGGUAAAACUGGCCUUGCUGGUGUUUGGUUGGAUUUGAGAGCAAGGAAUGGGAAGGAGCUAAGGUUGACUUUCAGGUUUUUUGAAGGACAGGGCAGAUGGUGGUGCUAGUAAUUGAGAUAGGAAAUGCAGGAAAAGAGGUUUGGGUCAGGAAUGGGCUGAUGGAGAGUCUGGGGACGGGAGAAAUGAGGAGUUUGGGUUUGGCCAUGUUGAGAUCACUUGAGGCGACCAGGUAAUGACAGAUACGAGCGAAGUGGAAGGAUAAUGGGGAGAUGCUGUAAACUUUAAGGAGCAAAGGAUUAUGGGAGAGUGGAGUGGGGGUCCAGCAUAUGUUUUCACUUAAUUGGGCAGUGAGGAGGACUGGUGGCCACUGAGUCUGAGGAAUGUGGGGAGUAAGAUCAUAAGGCAGCUCCUCAAACAAGGGUUGGCGGAGGGCCAGUGUCUUCAGGAGCUAUGUUAAUUUCCCAGGGCUGCCACAACCAAGCACCACAAACUGGGUGACUUAAAACAACUGGAAUUUAUUGUCUCACAGUUCUUGGGGCUAGAAGUCAGAAAUCAGAGUGAAGCAGGAGAAGAAGGUCUGAAGGCAGGGAACCUGAGGCCAUUUCAUGCAGACUUCCUAGAACUAAAUUCAUGCAGACUUCCUAGAACUUUCCAUGCCUAAGUAACAAAAGGACCAGAGGCUAUUCCCUUUGCAAACCCCCACCUUUUCUGUGUGGCAGAUGGGAAAUCUAAAGUACCUCAAUUUGCAUACGAGUGUAACUUUGUUUGCUUUGGAGUGUAACUUUGUAACUUCACUCCAGCCUCUGAUUGGUUGCUGUCCACAACCAAUCAAAAUGAUUGCAGGCCGAGUCUUCGUUUGCAUAGAAGUGCGGCUUUGUAACUUCACUUCAGUCUCUGAUUGUGGGCCACCACUUCAUUUACAUGAGGUGAGCACCAAGUGGCCAAUGGGAAACCUCUAGGGGGUAUUUGGAUCAGAGAAGAUUCUGUAUCCGGGCCCAUGAGCCUGCUGGUGCCGCUCCCACGCUGUGGAGUAUACUUUAACUUUCAAUAAAUCCUUGCUUUCAUUCUUUCAUUGCUUCAUUCUUUUCUUGCUUUGCUGUGAGUUUUGUCCGAUUCUUUGUUCAAAAUGCCAAGAACCUGGACAACUUGCAGUCAAGACCCUCUACCGAUAACAAAGGUGCUGGCAGGAUCAUGCUUCCUGUGAAAUUUAGCGAAAUCCUUCUGCCUCUUCCUAGCUUCUGGUGGUUUGCUGGCAAUCUUUAGUGUUCUUUGGCUUGUGGAAGCAUCACCUUACUCUCGGCCUGUGUUAUUGCAUGGCGUUCUCCCUGGGUCUGUUUUCUCAUGUGGCCCUCUUAUAAGGACCCCAGUCUUAUUGGAUUACAGACCCAUGCUGCUCCAGUAUCACCUCAUCUUAAUUAAUUACAUCAGCAACGGCCCUAUUUCCAAAUAAGGUCACAUUCUAAGGUACUGGAGUCAGGACUUCAACAUACGUUUUAGCAGGGGAUAAGUUCUACCCAUAGCAGGGAAGUUACUAUUUCUAGUUCAAGGAGAAAACAGAGGGAACAUUCUUCACAGAUUGAGGGGGCAGGGGGAGUUAGGUUCCGAAAGGCUCAAGUGAAAUGGUUGGGGGUACUGGGGGGGGAUGGUGGUGGGGUUUCUGAUCAGAGGAGAGGUGAGAGGAAGAGCUAACCGACAUUCUGGGUGAUAAGACUGGUGCAAAUGUGAGUCAUGGGGUGUUGGCACGAGGAACUCACUGCAGCUCUGGUUUGAGGGCAGUCUGGGUGGACUGGCCCUGUGGUGGGGUGAGAACACACUCUGCCUCAGGGGACUCUGGGUAGAGGAGCAUCCCAUGAAAUGCAUCAGACUGCUGUUGCCUGGUCAGCUUCUGCUUAUGGAUGUUAGUUUGAUGAAGAAGAAUCACUUACUUCUUGCAGAUUCUUGAAGUUUUCUCCACGGUGGCUGAGAUUUCCUAAAAGCUGCCGGUGUCACUGCUGUUUUUUAAAUUAUUUUCUUCUUGCUGCUUCUAGCAGGCAGUAAGCAAUGAUAGUCUGAGAGGUGCUUCUGUGCUCAUAACUUCUUUAUUUUCUUUGGGAUUUUGAAGUGUUCUUCUAUUCCCAAAGAACUUAAGAAAGCAAAUUCAAUGAAUAAACCUGUUAUUUGAGAAACCCCUCUCUAUCUACUUACUCCUUUCUUAUUGCCUUUAUGAAUUCCAAAACAGCAGAGUGCAAGGUAAAAGGUGUUAAGUCAAAAGACUGUCACUGGAUUGUAAAUACAUUCUGGGUAGGGGCUUUAUAUUGUUAGCCCUUUUAAAAAUUCUACUCUCUAUGAAAAGGGCAAAAAGAGCUGAUGCUCAGGCCACUGCUCUGUGUUUCACUUGCUUGCACUCUUUCUUAAAUAAUUUCUUAGUUAUAGUCCCAGCCACUUUAUAUCCUAUUUGAUCCUUUUUUUUUUUUUUUUUUUUGAGGUGGAGUUUCGCUUUUGUCACCCAGGCUGGAGUGCAAUGGUGCGAUCUCAGCUCACUGCAACCUCCACCUCCC